CCUCUGGACUGUUAUACCAAACGUAAGUAGCCAAUUAGCAGCACGGCAAAAACGGACAGGAUGAAAGAGGAA
rnacentral:ncRNA from 1 species